rnacentral:hammerhead_ribozyme from 1 species
GUACUACUGAAGAGUCCAAAAAUAGAAUGAAGGAAACAGCUGUCUAGUAC